GACGAACGCUGGCGGCGUGCUUAACACAUGCAAGUGGAGCGACGAAACCGGGCUUGCCCGGUGGCAGAGCCGCGAACGGGUGAGUAACACGUGGGUAACCUGCCCCGAUGAUUGGGACAACUCCGCGAAACCGGAGCUAAUACCAGAUGUGUUCACAUUCCUGAAGGGGUGUGAGGAAAGGAAGCUUCGGCCUCCGCAUCGGGAUGGGCCCGCGGCCCAUUAGAUUGUUGGUGGGGUAACGGCCUACCAAGGCGACGAUGGGUAGCUGGUCUGAGAGGACGAUCAGCCACACUGGGACUGAGACACGGCCCAGACUCCUACGGGAGGCAGCAGUGGGGAAUCUUGCGCAAUGCGCGAAAGCGUGACGCAGCAACGCCGCGUGCGGGAAGACGGCCUUCGGGUUGUAAACCGCUUUCAGUUGGGACGAAGCUUCGCCGGUGAAUAGCCGGCUGGAGUGACGGUACCUUCACAAGAAGCACCAGCUAACUACGUGCCAGCCGCCGCCGUAA
rnacentral:rRNA from 1 species